AAAUCCCUCAGCUUUUCUUUGUUUGGUAAAGGCUUUAUUUCUUCUUCAUGUUUGAAGGAUAUUUUCACCAUGUGUCCUAUUCUAAGUUCUCCAGGGUUGAUUUUAGGAGCAGAAGACCACAGCCUGAACUUGAUUAUCAUCUUGGCAGCUACAGAAAGGCUGAGAACUGACAUUGCCAUCACAUCUGUUCACUUCUCCCACUGAAAAUUGGUAUGGUGGUACUGAUGAAGUAAUUGAAACUACCAGAACUUGGGAAUGCCUUGGACAGAGGUAAGAAUUUGC
rnacentral:lncRNA from 1 species